GGGAACGUACCUUUUGGUUCGGAACAACCCAGGGAGACUUGGGCUAAUACCGGAUAAGCCCUUACGGGGAAAGAUUUAUCGCCGAAAGAUCGGCCCGCGUCUGAUUAGCUUGUUGGUGAGGUAACGGCUCACCAAGGCGACGAUCAGUAGCUGGUCUGAGAGGAUGAUCAGCCACAUUGGGACUGAGACACGGCCCAAACUCCUACGGGAGGCAGCAGUGGGGAAUAUUGGACAAUGGGCGCAAGCCUGAUCCAGCCAUGCCGCGUGAGUGAUGAAGGCCCUAGGGUUGUAAAGCUCUUUUGUGCGGGAAGAUAAUGACGGUACCGCAAGAAUAAGCCCCGGCUAACUUCGUGCCAGCAGCCGCGGUAAUACGAAGGGGGCUAGCGUUGCUCGGAAUUACUGGGCGUAAAGGGUGCGUAGGCGGGUCUUUAAGUCAGGGGUGAAAUCCUGGAGCUCAACUCCAGAACUGCCUUUGAUACUGAGGAUCUUGAGUUCGGGAGAGGUGAGUGGAACUGCGAGUGUAGAGGUGAAAUUCGUAGAUAUUCGCAAGAACACCAGUGGCGAAGGCGGCUCACUGGCCCGAUACUGACGCUGAGGCACGAAAGCGUGGGGAGCAAACAGGAUUAGAUACCCUGGUCAAGAACCC
rnacentral:rRNA from 1 species